rnacentral:rRNA from 1 species
CUGCGGAGGAUCAUUAAAAAAAAAUUAUUAUACAUCUCUUCUAGGAUUUAACCCUAAAUGUUAUAUAUUUCCACCAGUUUUUAAAAUAAAAAAAAAACUUUCAACAACGGAUCUCUUGGUUCUCGCAUCGAUGAAGAACGCAGCGAAUUGCGAUACGUAAUAUGACUUGCAGACGUGAAUCAUUGAAUUUUUGAACGCCCAUUGCGCCUUAAGGUAUUCCUCAAGGCAUGCGUGAAUGAGCGAUAUUUACUCUCAAACCCCUAGGGUUUGGUCCUGGCCCCCUACAGCCUAAACAUCAACUGAUUUUAAAAUAAGUUUUAAUCUCAUCCCCCUUAUUUCCUCAUUUUCGUAAGACUACCCGCUGAACUUAAGCAUAUCAAUAAGCGGAGGAAAAGAAACCAACAGGGAUUGCCUCAGUAACGGCGAGUGAAGCGGCAAAAGCUCAAAUUUGAAAUCCUCAGGGAAUUGUAUUUUGAAGGUUGACAGAGUUUGAAGGGUUCUUCUUAAGUUCAUUGGAAAAUGACGCCAUAGAGGGUGAUAGCCCCGUGAAGAAACCAAAUCCUUCUAUUUCUUUGUUCUCCAAAGAGUCGAGUUGUUUGGGAAUGCAGCUCUAAGUGGGUGGUAAAUUCCAUCUAAAGCUAAAUAUUGGCGAGAGACCGAUAGCGAACAAGUACAGUGAUGGAAAGAUGAAAAGCACUUUGAAAAGAGAGUGAAAAAGUACGUGAAAUUGUUGAAAGGGAAGGGCUUGCAAGCAGACACAACCUCGUGUUGGGCCAGCAUCGGGGCGAGGGGAAGUAAAACAGUCAAGAAAUAUAACUCCCUUCGGGGAGCAUUACAGUCUUUGUCCUACCACUUCCAUCUCAUCUCCGAGUC